rnacentral:rRNA from 1 species
ACUCAAAUGAAUAGACGGGGGCCCGCACAAGCGGCGGAGCAUGUUGCUUAAUUCGACGCAACGCGAAGAACCUUACCAAGGCUUGACAUUGCCCGGAAACACUCAGAGAUGGGUGCCUCUUCGGAUCGGGUGACAGGUGGUGCAUGGCUGUCGUCAGCUCGUGUCGUGAGAUGUUGGGUUAAGUCCCGCAACGAGCGCAACCCUUGUUCAAUGUUGCCAGCAACACCUUCGGGUGGUUGGGGACUCAUUGGAGACUGCCGGGGUCAACUCGGAGGAAGGUGGGGAUGACGUCAAGUCAUCAUGCCCCUUAUGUCUUGGGCUGCAAACAUGCUACAAUGGCCGGUACAGAGGGCUGCGAUACCGCAAGGUGGAGCGAAUCCCUAAAAGCCGGUCUCAGUUCGGAUUGGGGUCUGCAACUCGACCCCAUGAAGUCGGAGUCGCUAGUAAUCGCAGAUCAGCAACGCUGCGGUGAAUACGUUCCCGGGCCUUGUACACACCGCCCGU